AUGGUCAGGGCCACCAUGGGGUCAUGGCCACCAUGGGGUCGGUUGUGGCCACCACAGGGACGGUUGUGGCCACCAUGGAGUCAUGGCCACCACGGGGACGGUUGUGGCCACCACAGGGUCGGUUGUGGCCACCACGGGGUCGGUUGUGGCCACCAUGGGGUCAGGGCCACCACGGGGUCGGUCAUGGCCACCAUGGGGUCGUGGCUACCAUGGGGUCAGUUAUGGCCACCACGGAGUCAGGGCCACUGUGAGGUCAGGGCCACCAUAGGGACAGUCGUGGCCACCACAGGGUCAGUCGUGGCCACCAUGGGGUCAGGGCCACCAUGGGGACAGUCAGGGCCACCACAGGGAUGGUCAGGGCCACCACGGGGAUGGUCAUGGCCACCAAAGGGUCAGUCGUGGCCACCACGGAGUCAGGGCCACUGUGGGGUCAGGGCCACCACAGGGUCAGUUGUGGCCACCACAGGGACGGUUGUGGCCACCAUAAGGAUGGUCAGGGCCACCACAGGGAUGGUCAGGGCCAUCAGAGGGACGGUCAGGGCCACCAUGGGGUCAGGGCCACCACAGGGAUGGUCAGGGCCACCACAGGGAUGGUCAGGGCCACCACAAGGUCAGUUGUGGCCACCAUGGAUUCAGGGCCACCACAGGGACAGUCAGGGCCACCAUAAGGAUGGUCAGGGCCACCAUGGGGUUGUGGCCACCACAGGGACGGUUGUGGCCACCACAGGGUCGGUUGUGGCCACCAUGGGGUCAGGGCCACCACGGGGUCGGUCGUGGCCACCAUGGGGUCGUGGCUACCAUGGGGUCAGUUAUGGCCACCACGGAGUCAGGGCCACUGUGAGGUCAGGGCCACCAUAGGGACAGUCGUGGCCACCACAGGGUCAGUCGUGGCCACCAUGGGGUCAGGGCCACCAUGGGGACAGUCAGGGCCACCACAGGGAUGGUCAGGGCCACCACGGGGAUGGUCAUGGCCACCAAAGGGUCAGUCGUGGCCACCACGGAGUCAGGGCCACUGUGGGGUCAGGGCCACCACAGGGUCAGUUGUGGCCACCACAGGGACGGUUGUGGCCACCAUAAGGAUGGUCAGGG
rnacentral:lncRNA from 1 species